UACAGAGGUCUCAAGCGUUGUUCGGAUUCAUUGGGCGUAAAGGGUGCGCAGGCGGUUAUAUAAGACAGAUGUGAAAUCCCCGGGCUCAACCUGGGAACUGCGUUUGUGACUGUAUGACUAGAGUACGGUAGAGAGGGGUGGAAUUCCUGGUGUAGCAGUGAAAUGCGUAGAUAUCAGGAGGAACAUCGAUGGCGAAGGCGGCCCCUUGGACCUGUACUGACGCUCAUGCACGAAAGCGUGGGGAGCAAACAGG
rnacentral:rRNA from 1 species